rnacentral:rRNA from 1 species
UACGUAGGUGACAAGCGUUGUCCGGAUUUACUGGGCGUAAAGAGCGCGCAGGCGGUCGAUCAAGUCGAGUGUGAAAGCCCCCGGCUCAACUGGGGAGGGUCAUUCGAUACUGAUCGACUCGAAGGCAGGAGAGGGUAGUGGAAUUCCCGGUGUAGUGGUGAAAUGCGUAGAUAUCGGGGAGGAACACCAGUGGCGAAGGCGACUACCUGGCCUGUUCUUGACGCUGAGGCGCGAAAGCUAGGGGAGCGAACGGGG